rnacentral:rRNA from 1 species
UACGAAGGGGGCUAGCGUUGCUCGGAAUCACUGGGCGUAAAGCGCACGUAGGCGGAUUGCUAAGUCAGGGGUGAAAUCCUGGAGCUCAACUCCAGAACUGCCUUUGAUACUGGCGACCUUGAGUCCGGGAGAGGUGAGUGGAAUUCCUAGUGUAGAGGUGAAAUUCGUAGAUAUUAGGAAGAACACCAGUGGCGAAGGCGGCUCACUGGCCCGGUACUGACGCUGAGGCGCGAAAGCGUGGGGAGCAAACAGG